rnacentral:sRNA from 2 species
AGGUGCCGUCGUUCGCUGAGGCUCCUUCACGGAUACAGGCCAGCGACCCCGAACGUCGAGAGACGCCCCGGGUCAGGACAGGCUUCCCCGGCUUAAGGGGUGGCCCCGAUUGGCUCCCGCCACAGUGGGUGGACGGGUUCACGCCGUGGAGUGCCAAAGGUCUAACGAGGAGUGGUACCG